GCAGUGGUGGCUGAGUGGUAGAAUUCUCGCCUUUGAUGCAGGAAACCUGGGUUCGAUUCCCAGCCAAUGCA
rnacentral:tRNA from 1 species